AUCGGGCUGAAGACUCUACUUGACUAGCUGAGAGGAGGUGCAUGGCCGUCGUCAGUUCGUACUGUGAAGCAUCCUGUUAAGUCAGGCAACGAGCGAGACCCACGCCAACAGUUGCCAGCUCGUCCUCCGGGGAUGGUGGGGACACUGUUGGGACCGCCUCUGCUAAAGAGGAGGAAGGAAUGGGGCAACGGUAGGUCAGCAUGCCCCGAAUUAUCUGGGCUACACGCGGGCUACAAUGGGUGGGACAAUGGGUAUCGACACCGAAAGGUGAAGGCAAUCUCCUAAACCCAUCCGUAGUUCGGAUUGUGGGCUGCAACUCGCCCACAUGAAGCUGGAAUCUGUAGUAAUCGUGUCUCAAAAUGGCACGGUGAAUAUGUCCCUGCUCCUU
rnacentral:rRNA from 1 species